rnacentral:rRNA from 1 species
ACGGGUGAGUAACACGUGGGUAACCUGCCCUGCACUCUGGGAUAACUCCGGGAAACCGGGGCUAAUACCGGAUACGACCUCCGAGGGCAUCCUCGGGGGUGGAAAGUUUUUCGGUGCAGGAUGGACCCGCGGCCUAUCAGCUUGUUGGUGGGGUAAUGGCCUACCAAGGCUUUGACGGGUAGCCGGCCUGAGAGGGCGACCGGCCACACUGGGACUGAGACACGGCCCAGACUCCUACGGGAGGCAGCAGUGGGGAAUAUUGCACAAUGGGCGAAAGCCUGAUGCAGCGACGCCGCGUGAGGGAUGACGGCCUUCGGGUUGUAAACCUCUUUCAGCAGGGACGAAGCGCAAGUGACUGUACCUGCAGAAGAAGCACCGGCUAACUACGUGCCAGCAGCCGCGGUAAUACGUAGGGUGCGAGCGUUGUCCGGAUUUAUUGGGCGUAAAGAGCUUGUAGGCGGCUCGUCACGUCGGGUGUGAAAACUCGCGGCUCAACCGCGAGCCUGCACCCGAUACGGGCGGGCUAGAGUUCGGCAGGGGAGACUGGAAUUCCUGGUGUAGCGGUGGAAUGCGCAGA